GCCAGUAAGAGGAGGAAAGCUUUCUUCUGCCUGCUGGGAUAGUAAAGUGGUGGCUAAAGUAGUAUUACCUUGCCAGUAGAAAAUCUGGAAGGUAAAGUAUGAAGAAGCAAGAAAAAAUUACCCGGAAACAAAUACAGGUAUUCCAAAAAUUCUGAGCAAUAUUGUUUCUUCUGGGUUCUUCUCCUGUCCAUCUCAAGUGAUGAAUAUACAUACACCCAGGAGGGACCAAACCACCUCUGUUAAUACGUACAAGUGAUCCCAAGAAGGAAUGUAAACCUUGCAAACCUGAGAAGCCUGUUGACAUUGACUUCAAACUUCUGGGCUCCAGAACCAUCAGAUAUUAAAUUUGUGUUCUUUCAAAGCCACUAAGUCUGUAAUACUUUGUUACAGCAGCCACAGGAAACUCAUGCACGUACUUAAAACCUCCGGUUUUCAGUUAGUUAAUGGAAGGUUUAAAAGUGAAAAGUAUAAAAUGUAUUGAACUGCGUCUAAGAAUCCGGAGACACUGUGAAAGGAGUACUUGAGCAGAGAUGAGUGAGCAUGUUAAAGAAGCAGAGGCCUGGACGGCAGCAGGAGGAAGCAAGAACCCCACACGCGGCACCUGGCGUCAGGCUGCUCCCUGACAUGCGCACACCGUGGUCUGCCUGCCAGAUGCGAGCACCGGGGCCUCUGUACAGCCUGCGCCCCCGGCAGUGUUACACUGGGGACAACGAUGAAUACCCUGAAUUCAUACAUUUUACUGAUAAAUGUUAAGAUCCGAUAGAACCACCUGAUACAGUUAGUAAUUUAGAAAAUUUCUUUUUAGCCUCUUUUUGUUAAGGAAUCAUUAGAGAUAGUUCCAUUCUGUGUAUUCAAUUUUGAGACUGCAUUUCCCUACCUAACAUUAUAAGCAUUUCCCUUAAAUAACCAUUUCAAACAGUGAUUUGAGCAAAAUAUUCAGACAAUGUGCAUAUGAGUAUCAUGAUUCUGCUACCGUUGGGCAAUUUUUGUCCCUAAUUUUUAUUGUUAUAGAUGUUAUUGCACUGGAUAUUAUUGUAGGCUAUAUGUGUGUGUGUGUGUGUGUGUGUGUGUAUGUAUAUAUAUAUACACACAUAUAUAUGUAUAUAUACAUGUGUAUAUAUGUGUGGGUAUAUAUAUAUAUAUAUAUAUAUACAUACAUAUGUGUGUGGAUAUAUAUAUAUAUUUAUACACACACACACACACACACAGCUGAUGAUUUCUUAGAAUUUGAAAUUGUGAGACUUUUAAAACAAACGGUCUGAAUAUGUUCUGAUGACCAAUUUACUUUUCAGAAAUGUAUUAAUUCACAACCUUCAAGUGUUGGAUAGCAUAUCCUUCCUCAGAGGUGCUGUAAAAACCAGCUUUUGAAGUUGUGGAACGGAUGUAGAAAGUCAGGGAUACAGUGAUAGAUAAUUCUAGAAGGGAGGGAUUAAAAGUUGGUAAACAAGGAAGGGAAGAAAUGGCUGGGUCAGUCCGAGAUUUCCUUGAGAUCAGCCCACUUUCAGGAAAUCUUAAACGUAACACCAAGUUGGGGGUGGGGGAAGGAAGAUUUCUCUUGAAUCUGUAUUUGUCAGGCAGCAAGAGUUUUCACUGCAGUGUAUGUAACAGAUCAAUAAACAUCGUAAUGUUUUCUAAUGAU